GCAAUUUUCAGGGAGUGCCGUCGUAAAAGAUGUGGACGUUUGAGGAGAAGUGUAAGGACCAAGUCUCUUUUCUCAAACUCACACUGUAGUCUCUUCACAUGGAUGAAGUACAUUCACAGAUUUGCACAGGGUUUGCAGCUACGGCAGGUAGACAUGCUUCAGGAUGGCAUCACUAAAAGCACUGCAACACUCUCAAUGAUGUCUAAAAAAACUGCGAAGAAUUUGCCUAAAAAGCCUUAAAAGGCACAGGAAAGAAAAAGGCCAGAAAAUCGGUGGAGUCAACGCUAUCGUCCACAUUGACGAGAGCAAGUUCUGCCAUAAGCGCAAGUACGGAAGAGGGCGCUUCGGGAACAGCUGGAGGAGAAAAAGGACAUGGGUCUUUGGAAUGCUCCAAAUCAAACGGUCUGACAGGCGUCCUAUUCUUCGCCUCGUGCAGAGACGAAAUAAGGAGACCCUUAUUCCUAUCAUCAAAAAGCAUGUGGAGCGUCACAGUCUCGUCGUAAGUGAUGAGUGGAGAGCGUAUGCCGGUCUCGCCACAGAGGGCUACAGGCAUGUCAGGGUGAACCACAGCCAACAUUAUGUUGACCCUCAGACAGGA